rnacentral:rRNA from 1 species
UGGGGAAUUUUGGACAAUGGGCGCAAGCCUGAUCCAGCCAUGCCGCGUGCAGGAUGAAGGCCUUCGGGUUGUAAACUGCUUUUGUACGGAACGAAAAGGUGCCUUCUAAUAAAGGGCGCUCAUGACGGUACCGUAAGAAUAAGCACCGGCUAACUACGUGCCAGCAGCCGCGGUAAUACGUAGGGUGCGAGCGUUAAUCGGAAUUACUGGGCGUCAAGCGUGCGCAGGCGGUUUUGUAAGACAGAGGUGAAAUCCCCGGGCUCAACCUGGGAACUGCCUUUGUGACUGCAAGGCUGGAGUGCGGCAGAGGGGGAUGGAAUUCCGCGUGUAGCAGUGAAAUGCGUAGAUAUGCGGAGGAACACCGAUGGCGAAGGCAAUCCCCUGGGCCUGCACUGACGCUCAUGCACGAAAGCGUGGGGAGCAAACA